rnacentral:rRNA from 1 species
UACGGAGGGUGCGAGCGUUGUCCGGAAUCAUUGGGCGUAAAGGGUGCGUAGGCGGCUGUUUAAGUCGGCAAUGAAAUGCAGGGGCUCAACCUUAUGCGCUGUUGCCGAAACUGGACGGCUAGAGAGUAGAAGAGGCAGCUGGAAUAAGUGGUGUAGCGGUGAAAUGCGUAGAGAUCACUUAGAACACCGAUUGCGAAGGCAGGUUGCUGGUCUACUUCUGACGCUGAGGCACGAAGGCAUGGGGAUCAAACAGG